AGCACUAGGUGGGUUUGCUCCCUCCCUAGAUCUUCCAUCCAGGAUAGUCCUGGAAAUGAUCUUGAUGCUAUCUGUUCCUCGUUACAGCAGACCUGCUCAACUUCAGCAGCUAGAAGGAGGAUUGUCUUUCACCAGCUGCAGGAGCCUGUUCCCACUACAAGCCUGGUGGAGUCUUCGGAGCAGAUGUGACUGUCCUACUUGUAUAGAGAAGAGAAACUGAGGCUCAGAAGAGAUGCCUGGCUGAGUUUAAUAGGACUGCAACAACAAUUUUGCCUUUCUACUUUCUGACCGUUUGCAAAGAAAUUUCCUAAACAUCACCACUGAGGCUCCUUCCAGCAAUGACUCUGGUCCAUCAUUGGGAUUGCUGAGCAGCUGUUUCAUAACAUGAACAAGGAUGUUUUAACCAUGUUUCUUGACCUGGCCAUUUGGAUCCCAAGGAUGUUUUGGUCCAAGAAUAAAUUCCAGAGCUUAGCUCACCGAAGAAGACAGGAAAACUUGUCAGAUGGGGAAGGAUGUGUCAAGAGCAUGCACACAGAUUUACUCUUCAGCUAGAAGCUCCAAUUCCUAGAUGAUCUGAAUCCAACUCAGAGUGCUUGCACCUGUUUCCUGCCACACAGCUAGAGCUGUGUCCCUCUAGGUUCUCUGAUUGGCUGAAGCUACUCUAAGCCAAGAGAUCAAAGAAGCUGAUAAUGUAGAAUGUAAGUUUGUCUCCUGGGCCACAAUGGAAAGCAGAGACUGUAGCUGGAGGAGUGAAUAGAGGAUAUGCAGCUCUGGUAAUUCUCAGUACAAUUCCCAGUGGUCCACUCUGCAGAAUGAACCAAGUUCCAUUUUGCCCAACUUCUGGCAGUCCACAUUUGGACUGUGAGCUCACCUACAGAUAAAUCGUACGUGGAUUGAUGCAGUAACUGGAUUUGUAGCUGCUAAAUCUUAUUUAAGUGAGGACCUGUCCAGUACAUGUGAAGACCACCCAUCCACUGAAAGUGAUAAGUGAAGCUGAAUCAAUACUAGACUGAAUCAAUACUGAGCUGAAUCAAUACUUUCCCAAUUUUGAGGAAAUCUUGGAAAAUCUCUGAGAAAUGUGGUAGUAAUUAUUUUGAAGAAUUGGAAAACUUUAUAGCUGAUUAUGCUAUGUGUGGAAGAUACAACAGGAUUAUAAGAGAGAGAAGACAAUAUCCUUGCUGUGUCCAGAAGGCUUUAGCCGGGGUGUCCUACUGAGAGAUGACAAACUUAAGGUUUUUCUCUUCCCAGACAUUACUGGACAACUAGCUAUGUAAUUAGGUCUUAUGCCGAAAAGACUGAAAGGAAAACAUCUCAGAUCUAGGAAUGUGAUCAAGAAAGAAGGCUGGUUAAAGAAUAACAUGGGGAAAAUGAAUGCAGUGAAAUGGUUCACGCACAAGUUCUAGGAAUUCAGAGUGCAACAGCAGAAAUGCGAUUUUUGUUAGAUAUUUCAGAAAGUGAUGUGAGUCCCUGAGGUCAUACUGCAGCGUUCAGGUUCUGUUUGGCCUCCUGCACGAAGCUUUCCUUGAUUGGAAAAGCUGCAUACUCUGAAGCACAUCGCAUGUGUCCUGUCUGUAGUUCAUUUCAUUUCCCCAGAUUUGUUAUCAUCCACCAUCACUCAUACAAGCCUACCUUCUUCAUGCCAACCUUUGUAAUCUUUCUACCUUGCUAACCUGGUCAUGUCAAGGACCAGCUAAUAAAUAGCAAAGUUGUACCUUGAGCCAAGGUAUCUUGACUCUUAGUCCAGUGCUCUUUAUAUACCUCUGAAGUCUUAUUUGAGCUUCAAAAUUAUGAGUCUGUGCUCUCAAGAUUUUUUUGAAAAUGUACUUAAUGUUGCCCCUAAGCUUUUAUGAGAAAUAAUAAAGUUCUUUCCAGAUUGAAUAUCUAAUAACUCCAUUUCAUUUUAUGCUUUCUCAUGUAUGGAUGUCUAUAACUGGAAUGCUAUUUGGGCUACUGAGAUAUUUUCUUAAUUCUCUGUUUUGUGUUAGUUCUUUUUGUUUGUUUAUUUGACAACCAUAUUUUUGCACCUGAGAUAAAUCUGGCAUUCUAUUCAACUUCAAUUUCAAAGAGAAUCUGAGAAUGUACUGGUAGAACGAUAUUUGAAUACUAAUAUCUUGGAAAUACAGAAAUAAGUAUCAUACAUUUUGUUACAUUCUGUUUGUGUACAAAUAAUAUAAAAAUCAAUGAAUGAGAAUUUCAUAUUUGAAUUGUAUAUGGAUUGAUGCAAUAACU
rnacentral:lncRNA from 1 species